GACGAACGCUGGCGGCGUGCUUAACACAUGCAAGUCGAACGGAACGGCCCUGCUUUUGUGGGGUGCUCGAGUGGCGAACGGGUGAGUAACACGUGAGUAACCUGCCCUUGACUUUGGGAUAACUUCAGGAAACUGGGGCUAAUACCGGAUAGGAGCUCCUGCUGCAUGGUGGGGGUUGGAAAGUUUCGGCGGUUGGGGAUGGACUCGCGGCGUAUCAGCUUGUUGGUUGGGUAGUGGCUUACCAAGGCUUGGACGGGUAGCCGGCCUGAGAGGGUGACCGGCCACAUUGGGACUGAGAUGCGGCCCGGACUCCUACGGGAGGCAGAAGUGGGGAAUAUUACACAAUGGGCGGAAGCAUGAUGCAGCAAAGCCGCGUGCGGGAUGACGGCAUUCGGGUUGUAAACCAAUUUCGCCUGUGACGAAACGUGAGUGACGGUAAUGGGUAAAGAAGCACCGGCUAACUACGUG
rnacentral:rRNA from 1 species